AUUGAACGCUGGCGGCAUGCUUUACACAUGCAAGUCGAACGGUGACAGGCCGCAAGGUGCUGACGAGUGGCGAACGGGUGAGUAAUGCAUCGGAACGUGCCCAGUCGUGGGGGAUAACGCAGCGAAAGCUGCGCUAAUACCGCAUACGAUCUAUGGAUGAAAGCGGGGGACCGAAAGGCCUCGCGCGAUUGGAGCGGCCGAUGUCAGAUUAGGUAGUUGGUGGGGUAAAGGCCCGCCAAGCCAACGAUCUGUAGCUGGUCUGAGAGGACGACCAGCCACACUGGGACUGAGACACGGCCCAGACUCCUACGGGAGGCAGCAGUGGGGAAUUUUGGACAAUGGGCGCAAGCCUGAUCCAGCAAUGCCGCGUGCAGGAAGAAGGCCUUCGGGUUGUAAACUGCUUUUGUACGGAACGAAACGGUCCGGGUUAAUACCCUGGGCUAAUGACGGUACCGUAAGAAUAAGCACCGGCUAACUACGUGCCAGCCGCCGCCGUAACAC
rnacentral:rRNA from 1 species